rnacentral:rRNA from 1 species
UACGUAGGGGGCAAGCGUUGUCCGGAUUUAUUGGGCGUAAAGAGCGUGUAGGCGGCCACACAGGUCUGCUGUGAAAACUCGAGGCUCAACCUCGAGACGCCGAUGGAAACCCUCCAGCUAGAGUCCGGAAGAGGAGAGUGGAAUUCCUGGUGUAGCGGUGGAAUGCGUAGAGAUCCGGAGGAAGACCGGUGGCGAAGGCGGUCUGCUGGGCAGUUUCUGACACUGAGGCGCGACAGCGUGGGGAGCAAACAGG